ACUCUGCGCGCCGCGCGGGGGUGGUUACUACUCGCGCAGCUGGGAUGGCUACUUUCUUCUGUUGACGGGGGCGCACAUGUCGGAUACCAUUCUGGAGACAAUAAAGACGUAGCGAAGGCCCCAGAUGAUGCUAAGCUUAUAGAAUGGAUUGUCUUACUGAUCCUGAGAACAGUUCUUUGAGGCUCAAUUCCGUUUUCAUACUUAUUGGAACCAACAAGUAUUAUAUUUGUCUGGUUUUUGUUGUCAUUGCUGUUGUUCCCCUACCUCCUAAAAUGUAAGCUCUGUGAGUACAAGAACUGUGUUUCUCUUGGUCACUGAUGUAUUCUCAAUGAUUCUGGUCCAUCUCAUGGAACAGAACAGAGUCAGCCAAGGAGGAUGCUGUUGAACAACUUAGAAGGCUAUUGCAACCAUCCCGGCAAGAGAUAACAAUAAUGUGGACUUGAGAGAUGGCAAAGCAGAUGCAGAAAACUGGAAGGAUUUCAAAGGAAGUUUUCCCUACAUUUUCCAUUUCAGCACCAGUCACUGAAUUUUCCCUUAGAUAUACAGAGCCAAUUUGACCCAGAGAUGCUUAAGAUCUAGUUCCCAUUCUGGAUAAUUCUAACUGUCCUUUUGAAGUGAACAUUAACAUAAAAUGAAAAAAUUGUUAAGUUACAUCCAAAUGAUUUCCUGCCCUGAUCACAGCCUCUACUGAUAGUAACCUUCUAUGGACCAGAUACUUUUCUAAGCACAUUACACUCAUUGAAUCCUAACGUUAAUCCUCUUGAGGUAUUUUUGUUAUUAUUAUCCCCACUCAACAAAGGAGAAAACUGAGGCAUGGAGUUAUUAAGAAAUAGCUAAGGUAUCUACUACAUAGGGGUGUUAAGUUUAAUUCAGAUAAUUUUUGUAAAGUACUUAUAAAAGUGCCUUGCAUAUGUUAAAUAAUAACUUCCUAAAUUUGUAAAAUAGUCAACAAUGGAAUUGAAGUUGGAAUCUGUGCAGUCUGGCUCCAAAGUCUGUGCAGUUAACCACUGCAUUCUACCACCAUUCAAAGUUUCGGCCCAAUGUUCCUUGAAUGCUAUUAAAAGAAGACAGAACCUAACUUCUGCUGCAAAGCUACCUUCAAAAGCAGGACUAACGUAAUUAGUUUUUUCAGUCCCAAAACUGAGUAGGUAUUAAUUACAAAUGUUUAAGUUACAGGUGCAACAAAAAUUUAUGAAGCACCCACAAUGUCACACAUGUCUCUACCCUAAAGAACACUUCAGUCUAACACAAGCCUUUUUCAGUCUGAGAUUUCAAUAGAGAAUCCUUAGUUCCUUUAGCCACCCACACAUAUAGUACAUUAAUUUCUCUCCUAUGCAUCUAGAAUCGUACUCAUAUACCAACCUGAAGAAAUAGCCACACAAUUUUUUUUAUAUUCUGUGAUUUACAUGGGGAACUUCAUGCACAAUUUCAAAACAAUGUGACAAAUGUUACAAGGUAAUAGAAGCAGAGUGAGUGUAGUUUAAGAGUAACAGCUCUGAAGUCAUAUUUGAAGUUGAAUAUAAAGCUUAGCCACUUACAGGAAGUAACCUCAGGUAGAACAUUUAACUUCUUUAAGUCUCACAAAAUUGUGAGGAUUAAAAUAGCGUAUGUGAGUUAUUUAGUAUAGUCCUGACAUAUGGUAGGUUUCAUAAUGGUGGUUAUUUUUAUUGUCUGCUUAUUAAGCAAACUCAUAAGUAUCUGUCUUGGACCACGAUGUCCAGGAUACCUUGAACAUACCAGCCAUUCAAUAAAUAUAUUUUUAUUUAAUGGAUGGCAUCUACCAGAGAUUCCUUAAAAUGUCAUGUAGGCUAAGAUGAAUGAAUGGGAUUUAACAAUGAAUUGGCAGAAGGAGACCAUUCCAGGCAAUGAAAACAUAUGAGUCAAUGAGAAAAAACACAAGAGCACACAAAAGUUUCUAGAAACUAUUAAGUACAUAGUUCAUUAUGACUGUGAGUAUAGCUAAUGUGGAUAAUGCCAGGAAAUGAAAACAUAGGCAGGUCCUAGAUAAUAAAGGGCCCUGUAUGACAUGCUAGAAAGAGUUGGAAUAAUAUUCUGUGAGGCAUAGUAGGUUGUGUCCAGCAGAGAAGUGGAGGAGGAGAAGCAACAUGAAGGAUUGGGUCUAGAAUAUCUCAAUCUUACAAUGUGGGAGUCAAUAGGUGGAGGAACAGGACAUUGAAGUUUAAGUAUAUUAUUUAUAGAUAUAAAGGUAACCAGUAGAGAAAGAAAAAAUAACCAUAACUCUUGAGCCAAAUGCUUAUCUGUCAUUGUAGUAAGUGAAUAGAUAAUACCUGUAGUUGAUACAUGAAGAAAUAACUUUAGGACCAUUCUGUUCUAAGAUAUGUAUAGUAACUGCCAAAAAAACUAAAAAUAAAUAAGAGUAGUUGCCUCUUGGAAGUAGGAAUGAGAGUGUAUGAACUUGGCAAUAAAUAUUUUUAAAUCUAAUAGGUCAGAGGAAAAAAGCUUUCCUUUAUUAAGCACUCACUGUGUGUCAAGCUGUAAGACCCCAUCACCUCCUUAAUGAAGGAGGCCCCCCACUCCUGAGCCUACAGAGAUUGCAUCAUUGGCCAUCUUUCUAGAACACGCUAAACUGAUACUUGCCUGAGGACUUCUCCACUUUCCAUUCUGUCUGUUCUUUCCAAAGGUCUUUCUUUGCAUGACUAACUCCUCAUUAUUCAGUGUUCAUCUUAAACAUACCCUCCCCAACAAGGUUGUCUUGCCACCCGAAGUUGCUCCCUUUUCUCCCCCAACCAGUCACUUUCAAUCACACUGGCCUAUUUUACUUUCUUCAUAACACAUAUAAUAACUGAAGUUACCUUAUUUAUUUAUUUACACUACAUCUUCCCCACCACAACAUAAGCUUACAAGAAAGGGACCUUAUCCAUCUUAUUCACCACUGAUAUCCCUAGUACCCAGAACAGUGACUGGCACAUAAUAGGUGCUCAAUAAAUGUUUGUUCAGUGAAUGAAGUCUUGCAGGUAUCAUACGCACCUCUAGCAUCCUAUGAUCUUGAGGACGAUGAUAGCUUCUUUUUCUUUUUAAUCCCCAGGGCCUGAUUCAAAAUAUGAGCUAAUAUAAUAUUCAGUAGGUAUUCAAGAAAAGUUUAUUACUAAAUUUAUAAAUGAAUACUGAAGUAAGGGUCAUGCCAAUAUGGUCUUUUUAUUUUAUAUGCCAUCUCAUCUUAUAGUACAAAGGUAACCAGUACUUAAAACCCUAGUACUUCUCUAGUAUAAAUAUAUACACAUGUAACCAGGAAUGUGUUUCCCACUGUCCAUCCAAACCCUUCCAAGUGCCAGACUGGGGCCCCUGCUGCUCCUUCAUCAUCAGUGUUCUCUAGGGGUGAAGGACCUCACACUGUUUUGAAAAGAAUGCCCUGUUGACUCAGUUCAGAACAGAGCAGUUCAAGUGGGAGCCUAGAAAAGUCUUAGGGUACAAGUGGACAUCAUUCACCUGGAUGAUCCAGGAAGCUGAGUACAGGUGCUAGAAUGACCUGACAGUGAUGCCAACAGCACCUACACAAAGGUGGCAUGCUCACUCAGAUGGCAGGGAUGGUCUGCAGUCACUGGCCUGCCUGCCAGUAGCUCUCCAGGGCUGGCCAGCAACCGCCCGAACUUAACUUUGUUUCUCUUUGUAUCCCUGAUCUAACAAUCACUAUUCUCCCAAAAUCAACCCAAUGGAUUUAACUGCUUAGAAGUGUGGGGCAAGAAAGAAACCCACAGCGCUAACAUUUCAAGAUCUUUUCUCACUGCUUAUAACAAAAAACCACACAUUCUAUUACCAAAAUGAAACUGUUUAAAACCAAAAUGCAACUAUUUAUAGAUCAUCUCUUGCAUUGUUUUGUAAAUAACACUUGGCAGUGCUAGUGGAUUUGUCAUACAUAUUCUACAAUUAUAGACUUUCUGGGGAAUUUAUCUAAUCCAAAGGAUUUUAUUUCUGAUGAGCUAUUUUAAGAUUCUAGUUUCCUCAGAAGGAGGAAGUAAGGGGUAUGCCAAUAUGGUCUUUUUAUUUUAGAAAAUACUAUCUUUUUGGGUGCUUUUCAGAUUUAAUUUCCUAGUGAAAAUAAUGAUGUCAUGAAUAGUUUGAUUAUUUUUGGUUAGGGGAAGCCAUUGAAUUACUGUGAUUAAUUGCUAAAUAAUGAGACCAAUUUAAAUAAACCUCUCCAGAAAUACGAUCUGUGCUGUAUCCCCCAGCAGGGCCUUAAUAUUGUUGGGAUAGAGGACAAGAGGGAGUUAAGAAGGAAAAUGAGAAAGAAGAAAAAAGAAAAGAAAUGCAUAUUUAGAUACUUUUUGCUUUCAAUCAUCUAAAGGAAUAGUUCUGAAUCUUUAGUCACGGAGGCAUACGAUAUUGGGGACAUAAGGAGGCCUAAUGAUCUGGUUCAACUUACUCAUUUUAUAGUAGAGAGAAAACCAAGGUUCUGGAAAAUUUUAGUGACAUGCCCAUGCACUCAUUUAAAAAAAAUAAAUACAUAGAACAGUCCUUUUGCAAUCAGAAAAUUGCAGUGUUUCUUUUUACUUCUUGAGCUGAUUUUCAUUCCAUGCCCUUUGGAAUUUUACCCUAAUAAAAUCUUUUUACCCUAAGAUUCCUCAAGGGAGGAACAACCUAAGACAGGCACAGUCGCAGGGGGGCCAUCAGGUGAGAAAU